ACAAAGUGUAGCUUAAAUAAAGCAUCUGGCUUACACCCAGAAGACUUCAGGUAAUACUGGCCACUUUGA
rnacentral:tRNA from 2 species